UCNCCCNCCNCGCGCGGCGGGCGGGGCGGGGGCCAUAUCAAUAAGCGGAGGAAAAGAAACCAACAGGGAUUGCCCUAGUAACGGCGAGUGAACAGGCAAGAGCUCAGAUUUGAAAGGCACUUUUGUGCCGUUGUAUUCUGAAGUUAGGGUCCUGAGAAACGAUGCUUAAGUCUUCUGGAAAGGAGCGCCAUGGAGGGUGAUAGCCCCGUCUAGCAUUGACCUCAUAUAGGAUCUUAACAUGGAGUCGAGUUGUUUGGGAAUGCAGCUCAAAUGGGUGGUAUGCUCCAUCUAAAGCUAAAUAUCUGCGAGAGACCGAUAGUAAACAAGUACUGUGAGGGAAAGAUGAAAAGAACUUUGAAAAGAGAGUGAAAAAGUACGUGAAAUUGUUGAAAUGGAAGGGUAGGCCGCUAACCAUGUAGAGCCGUGUUUGGGGGGAAGAUAAAUGCUGUAGAAUGUAGCUCCUCGGAGUAUUAUAGAUGCAGUUCAUAUUNCCCACCCGAGCGCGAGGUCUCAGGUCUAUAAAUGGGCACUUG
rnacentral:rRNA from 1 species